rnacentral:tRNA from 1 species
CCUGAUAGCUCAGUUGGUAAAGAAUCCGCCUGCAAUGCAGAAGACCCUGGUUUGAUUCCUGGGUCAGGA